UACUCGAGUGGCGAACGGGUGAGUAACACGUGGGUGAUCUGCCCUGCACUCUGGGAUAAGCCUGGGAAACUGGGUAUAAUACCGGAUAGGACCAUGCUUUAGUGUGUGUGGUGGAAAGUUUUUUCGGUGUAGGAUGAGCCCGCGGCCUAUCAGCUUGUUGGUGGGGUAAUGGCCUACCAAGGCGGCGACGGGUAGCCGGACUGAGAGGUUGGUCGGCCACAUUGGGACUGAGAUACGGCCCAG
rnacentral:rRNA from 1 species